GCUGGCAUAGCUCAGCUGGUAGAGCAACUGACUUGUAAUCAGUAGGUCGUGGGUUCGAUGCCUACUGUCAGCACCA
rnacentral:tRNA from 2 species